ACCUGGCUGGCUCUGUUGGAGGAGCGUGAGACUCUUGAUCUCAGGGUUGUGAGUUUGAGUCCUACACUGGGUA
rnacentral:tRNA from 1 species